UGGGGAAUAUUGCACAAUGGGCGAAAGCCUGAUGCAGCAACGCCGCGUGAGUGAUGAAGGCCUUCGGGUUGUAAAGCUCUGUCUUUUGGGACGAUAAUGACGGUACCAAAGGAGGAAGCCACGGCUAACUACGUGCCAGCAGCCGCGGUAAUACGUAGGUGGCAAGCGUUGUCCGGAUUUACUGGGCGUAAAGGAUGCGUAGGCGGAUUUUUAAGUGAGAUGUGAAAACCCUAAGCUUAACUUGGGGACUGCAUUUCAUACUGGAAAUCUAGAGUGCGGGAGAGGAGAAUGGAAUUCCUAGUGUAGCGGUGAAAUGCGUAGAGAUUAGGAAGAACACCAGUGGCGAAGGCGAUUCUCUGGACCGUAACUGACGCUGAGGCAUGAAAGCGUGGGUAGCAAACAGGAUUAGAUACCCUGGUAGUCCACGCCGUAAACGAUGAGUACUAGGUGUAGGAGGUAUCGACCCCUUCUGUGCCGCAGUUAACACAAUAAGUACUCCGCCUAGGAAGUACGAUCGCAAGAUUAAAACUCAAAGGAAUUGACGGGGUCAUAGCUGUUUCCU
rnacentral:rRNA from 1 species